GACGAACGCUGGCGGCGUGCUUAACACAUGCAAGUCGAACGGAAAGGCCCUGCUUUUGUGGGGUGCUCGAGUGGCGAACGGGUGAGUAACACGUGAGUAACCUGCCCUUGACUUUGGGAUAACUUCAGGAAACUGGGGCUAAUACCGGAUAGGAGCUCCUGCUGCAUGGUGGGGGUUGGAAAGUUUCGGCGGUUGGGGAUGGACUCGCGGCUUAUCAGCUUGUUGGUGGGGUAGUGGCUUACCAAGGCUUUGACGGGUAGCCGGCCUGAGAGGGUGACCGGCCACAUUGGGACUGAGAUACGGCCCAGACUCCUACGGGAGGCAGCAGUGGGGAAUAUUGCACAAUGGGCGGAAGCCUGAUGCAGCAACGCCGCGUGCGGGAUGACGGCCUUCGGGUUGUAAACCGCUUUCGCCUGUGACGAAGCGUGAGUGACGGUAAUGGGUAAAGAAGCACCGGCUAACUACGUGCCAGCAGCCGCGGUGAUACGUAGGGUGCGAGCGUUGUCCGGAUUUAUUGGGCGUAAAGGGCUCGUAGGUGGUUGAUCGCGUCGGAAGUGUAAUCUUGGGGCUUAACCCUGAGCGUGCUUUCGAUACGGGUUGACUUGAGGAAGGUAGGGGAGAAUGGAAUUCCUGGUGGAGCGGUGGAAUGCGCAGAUAUCAGGAGGAACACCAGUGGCGAAGGCGGUUCUCUGAGCCUUUCCUGACGCUGAGGAGCGAAAGCGUGGGGAGCGAACAGGCUUAGAUACCCUGGUAGUCCACGCUGUAAACGGUGGGUACUAGGUGUGGGGUCCAUUCCACGGGUUCCGUGCCGUAGCUAACGCUUUAAGUACCCCGCCUGGGGAGUACGGCCGCAAGGCUAAAACUCAAAGGAAUUGACGGGGCCCCGCACAAGCGGCGGAGCAUGCGGAUUAAUUCGAUGCAACGCGUAGAACCUUACCUGGGUUUGACAUGGAUCGGGAGUGCUCAGAGAUGGGUGUGCCUCUUUUGGGGUCGGUUCACAGGUGGUGCAUGGCUGUCGUCAGCUCGUGUCGUGAGAUGUUGGGUUAAGUCCCGCAACGAGCGCAACCCUUGUUCACUGUUGCCAGCACGUUAUGGUGGGGACUCAGUGGAGACCGCCGGGGUCAACUCGGAGGAAGGUGGGGAUGACGUCAAGUCAUCAUGCCCCUUAUGUCCAGGGCUUCACGCAUGCUACAAUGGCUGGUACAAAGAGUGGCGAGCCUGUGAGGGUGGGCGAACCUCGGAAAGCCGGUCUCUGUUCGGAUUGGGGUCUGCAACUCGACCUCAUGAAUUCCGAAUCGCUAAUAAUCGCAGAUCAGCAACGCUGCGGUGAUACGUUCCCCGGGCU
rnacentral:rRNA from 1 species